GCCUGUAUCGUGAGCUAGGGUUGGCUACAUAAAAGGCUAGGAGCGUCCAACUUGAUUGAAAAAAGUAUGAGAGUUCACAUUAGAGAUUGAGGAUUCGAAUGGACACAAAAGAUCUGCCAAAACAUGAAUUCAAAAAACUGAACCGAUUCAACAAUACUUAUCUGUAUCGUGAGCUAGCGUUAGCUAGGGUAAAGGCUAGGAGUGUCCAAUUUGAUUGGAAAAAAUAUGAGAGUUCACAUUAGAGAUUGAGGAUUCGAAUGGAUAAAAAAGAUCUGCCAAAACAUGAAUGAAAAAAACUGAACCGAUGCAACAAUACAUGUUUGUAGCGUGAGCUAGGGUUGGCUACAUCAAAUGCUAGGAGUGUCCAAUUUGAUUGGAAAAAGUAUGAGAAUUCAAAUUAGAGAUUCAGGAUUCGAAUGGACACAAAAGAUCUCCAAAACAGGAAUCAAAAUAUUGAACAUAUUCAACAAUACCCGCCUGUAUCGUG
rnacentral:lncRNA from 1 species